rnacentral:rRNA from 1 species
AUGGCAGCGGUUCGAGUCCACUUAUCUCCAGCCCAUGAUCUUAGGGGAUACUAUGAUAGCGAUAGCACCGAAUUUUGCCAAUUCGGCAGUUCGAUCUAUGAUUUCACAUUCAUGGACGCUGAUAAGAUCCUUCCAUUUAGUAGCACCAUAGGAUGGCAUAGCCUUAACGUUAAUGGGAAGGUUUAAAAGAGGAAAGGCUUGCGGUGGAUACCUAGGCACCCAGAGACGAGGAAGGGCGUAGCAAGCGACGAAAUGCUUCGGGGAGUUGAAAAUAAGCAUAGAUCUAGAGAUUCCCAAAUAGGUCAACCUUUUAAACUGCCUGCUGAAUCCAUGAGCAGGCAAGAGAUAACCUGGCAAACUGAAACAUCUUAG